GGGUUGUGAGGUUAAGCGACUAAGCGUACACGGUGGAUGCCCUGGCAGUCAGAGGCGAUGAAGGACGUGCUAAUCUGCGAUAAGCGUCGGUAAGGUGAUAUGAACCGUUAUAACCGGCGAUUUCCGAAUGGGGAAACCCAGUGUGUUUCGACACACUAUCAUUAACUGAAUCCAUAGGUUAAUGAGGCGAACCGGGGGAACUGAAACAUCUAAGUACCCCGAGGAAAAGAAAUCAACCGAGAUUCCCCCAGUAGCGGCGAGCGAACGGGGAGCAGCCCAGAGCCUGAAUCAGUGUGUGUGUUAGUGGAAGCGUCUGGAAAGGCGCGCGAUACAGGGUGACAGCCCCGUACACAAAAAUGCACAUGCUGUGAGCUCGAUGAGUAGGGCGGGACACGUGGUAUCCUGUCUGAAUAUGGGGGGACCAUCCUCCAAGGCUAAAUACUCCUGACUGACCGAUAGUGAACCAGUACCGUGAGGGAAAGGCGAAAAGAACCCCGGCGAGGGGAGUGAAAAAGAACCUGAAACCGUGUACGUACAAGCAGUGGGAGCACGCUUAGGCGUGUGACUGCGUACCUUUUGUAUAAUGGGUCAGCGACUUAUAUUCUGUAGCAAGGUUAACCGAAUAGGGGAGCCGAAGGGAAACCGAGUCUUAACUGGGCGUUAAGUUGCAGGGUAUAGACCCGAAACCCGGUGAUCUAGCCAUGGGCAGGUUGAAGGUUGGGUAACACUAACUGGAGGACCGAACCGACUAAUGUUGAAAAAUUAGCGGAUGACUUGUGGCUGGGGGUGAAAGGCCAAUCAAACCGGGAGAUAGCUGGUUCUCCCCGAAAGCUAUUUAGGUAGCGCCUCGUGAAUUCAUCUCCGGGGGUAGAGCACUGUUUCGGCAAGGGGGUCAUCCCGACUUACCAACCCGAUGCAAACUGCGAAUACCGGAGAAUGUUAUCACGGGAGACACACGGCGGGUGCUAACGUCCGUCGUGAAGAGGGAAACAACCCAGACCGCCAGCUAAGGUCCCAAAGUCAUGGUUAAGUGGGAAACGAUGUGGGAAGGCCCAGACAGCCAGGAUGUUGGCUUAGAAGCAGCCAUCAUUUAAAGAAAGCGUAAUAGCUCACUGGUCGAGUCGGCCUGCGCGGAAGAUGUAACGGGGCUAAACCAUGCACCGAAGCUGCGGCAGCGACGCUGAUGCGUUGUUGGGUAGGGGAGCGUUCUGUAAGCCUGCGAAGGUGUGCUGUGAGGCAUGCUGGAGGUAUCAGAAGUGCGAAUGCUGACAUAAGUAACGAUAAAGCGGGUGAAAAGCCCGCUCGCCGGAAGACCAAGGGUUCCUGUCCAACGUUAAUCGGGGCAGGGUGAGUCGACCCCUAAGGCGAGGCCGAAAGGCGUAGUCGAUGGGAAACAGGUUAAUAUUCCUGUACUUGGUGUUACUGCGAAGGGGGGACGGAGAAGGCUAUGUUGGCCGGGCGACGGUUGUCCCGGUUUAAGCGUGUAGGCUGGUUUUCCAGGCAAAUCCGGAAAAUCAAGGCUGAGGCGUGAUGACGAGGCACUACGGUGCUGAAGCAACAAAUGCCCUGCUUCCAGGAAAAGCCUCUAAGCAUCAGGUAACAUCAAAUCGUACCCCAAACCGACACAGGUGGUCAGGUAGAGAAUACCAAGGCGCUUGAGAGAACUCGGGUGAAGGAACUAGGCAAAAUGGUGCCGUAACUUCGGGAGAAGGCACGCUGAUAUGUAGGUGAAGUCCCUCGCGGAUGGAGCUGAAAUCAGUCGAAGAUACCAGCUGGCUGCAACUGUUUAUUAAAAACACAGCACUGUGCAAACACGAAAGUGGACGUAUACGGUGUGACGCCUGCCCGGUGCCGGAAGGUUAAUUGAUGGGGUUAGCCGCAAGGCGAAGCUCUUGAUCGAAGCCCCGGUAAACGGCGGCCGUAACUAUAACGGUCCUAAGGUAGCGAAAUUCCUUGUCGGGUAAGUUCCGACCUGCACGAAUGGCGUAAUGAUGGCCAGGCUGUCUCCACCCGAGACUCAGUGAAAUUGAACUCGCUGUGAAGAUGCAGUGUACCCGCGGCAAGACGGAAAGACCCCGUGAACCUUUACUAUAGCUUGACACUGAACAUUGAGCCUUGAUGUGUAGGAUAGGUGGGAGGCUUUGAAGUGUGGACGCCAGUCUGCAUGGAGCCGACCUUGAAAUACCACCCUUUAAUGUUUGAUGUUCUAACGUUGACCCGUAAUCCGGGUUGCGGACAGUGUCUGGUGGGUAGUUUGACUGGGGCGGUCUCCUCCUAAAGAGUAACGGAGGAGCACGAAGGUUGGCUAAUCCUGGUCGGACAUCAGGAGGUUAGUGCAAUGGCAUAAGCCAGCUUGACUGCGAGCGUGACGGCGCGAGCAGGUGCGAAAGCAGGUCAUAGUGAUCCGGUGGUUCUGAAUGGAAGGGCCAUCGCUCAACGGAUAAAAGGUACUCCGGGGAUAACAGGCUGAUACCGCCCAAGAGUUCAUAUCGACGGCGGUGUUUGGCACCUCGAUGUCGGCUCAUCACAUCCUGGGGCUGAAGUAGGUCCCAAGGGUAUGGCUGUUCGCCAUUUAAAGUGGUACGCGAGCUGGGUUUAGAACGUCGUGAGACAGUUCGGUCCCUAUCUGCCGUGGGCGCUGGAGAACUGAGGGGGGCUGCUCCUAGUACGAGAGGACCGGAGUGGACGCAUCACUGGUGUUCGGGUUGUCAUGCCAAUGGCACUGCCCGGUAGCUAAAUGCGGAAGAGAUAAGUGCUGAAAGCAUCUAAGCACGAAACUUGCC
rnacentral:rRNA from 1 species